UACGUAGGGGGCUAGCGUUGUCCGGAAUCAUUGGGCGUAAAGCGCGUGUAGGCGGUCCGGUAAGUCCGCUGUGAAAGUCGAGGGCUCAACCCUCGAAUGCCGGUGGAUACUGUCGGGCUUGAGUACGGGAGAGGCGAGUGGAAUUCCUGGUGUAGCGGUGAAAUGCGCAGAUAUCGGGAGGAACACCGGUGGCGAAGGCGGUUCUCUGGGCCUUACCUGACGCUGAGGAGCGAAAGCUAGGGGAGCAAACGGG
rnacentral:rRNA from 1 species